rnacentral:rRNA from 1 species
CAACCUGCCGUCUACUCUUGGCCAGCCUUCUGAAAGGAAGAUUAAUCCAGGAUGGCAUCAUGAGUUCACAUGUCCGCAUGAUUAAAGGUAUUUUCCGGUAGACGAUGGGGAUGCGUUCCAUUAGAUAGUAGGCGGGGUAACGGCCCACCUAGUCAACGAUGGAUAGGGGUUCUGAGAGGAAGGUCCCCCACAUUGGAACUGAGACACGGUCCAAACUCCUACGGGAGGCAGCAGUGAGGAAUAUUGGUCAAUGGGCGAUGGCCUGAACCAGCCAAGUAGCGUGAAGGAUGACUGCCCUAUGGGUUGUAAACUUCUUUUAUAAAGGAAUAAAGUCGGGUAUGCAUACCCGUUUGCAUGUACUUUAUGAAUAAGGAUCGGCUAACUCCGUGCCAGCAGCCGCGGUAAUACGGAGGAUCCGAGCGUUAUCCGGAUUUAUUGGGUUUAAGGGGAGCGUAGAUGGAUGUUUAAGUCAGUUGUGAAAGUUUGCGGCUCAACCGUAAAAUUGCAGUUGAUACUGGAUGUCUUGAGUGCAGUUGAGGCAGGCGGAAUUCGUGGUGUAGCGGUGAAAUGCUUAGAUAUCACGAAGAACUCCGAUUG